UGGAAAGGUAAAUGUCCUAGAGAAAUAUAGUAGCUUUCUGUUUACCUUUUGCAAGUAAAAAGGGUGGAUUGUUCCACUACUGACAAAA
ensembl:snoRNA